rnacentral:rRNA from 1 species
UACGGAGGCAGCAGUGGGGAAUAUUGCACAAUGGGCGCAAGCCUGAUGCAGCCAUGCCGCGUGUAUGAAGAAGGCCUUCGGGUUGUAAAGUACUUUCAGUCGUGAGGAAGGUGUUAAGGUUAAUAACCUUAGCAAUUGACGUUAGCGACAGAAGAAGCACCGGCUAACUCCGUGCCAGCAGCCGCGGUAAUACGGAGGGUGCGAGCGUUAAUCGGAAUUACUGGGCGUAAAGGGCACGCAGGCGGUUAAUUAAGUUGGAUGUGAAAUCCCCGGGCUUAACCUGGGAAUGGCAUUCAAGACUGGUUAGCUAGAGUCUUGUAGAGGGGGUAGAAUUCCAUGUGUAGCGGUGAAAUGCGUAGAGAUGUGGAGGAAUACCGGUGGCGAAAGGCGGCCCCUGGGACAAAGACUGACGCUCAUGUGCGAAAGCGUGGGGAGCAAACAGGGAUUAGAUACC